UGAUGCAAUCCAAGGGUGUAAUGAGCAAAUAUAUUGGCCUUAAGGGCUUUCUAGGCCCAUAACGCGUUUGCAAGAGAGGGAGUAGGGAGUUCAGCAAUUCAUUCACAUUUUCACUUGUUCCUUGCAUCUUCCAUACCUCAAAAUAUGUCGCCAUCAGAACCUCUGCUCCGUCGCGCCGACAAUCGUGUCCAACGGCGGCGGAGGUCCAAACACCUAAAACCUCACAUCAAAUUGCUUGCCAUGUCUUGCUCUCUCGAAAUCCCUCAUUUGUUUCCACUAAGUCCUCUGCCAUAGUCCUAAAUCGAAGUCAAAGGAAAGAACCCUAGAACUAUAAAUUUGAAAUUAAAUGGUGAAAACGAAUCAAUUGGAUCAUAAACCUUAGGGGUUUGGCUCCCAAGGGAAAACUCUACAUUAUUUGUUUCCACUAAGACUUAGAUGAAGUUAACUGUUAACAAAUGAAGAAAAUCAGUUAGUGAAUUUUGAAUUGCAGUUAAUUGUUAAUUGGAUUGUUAAUAGAGUUAAUUAUUAGUUAUUUAAAUAAGACGCAUAAAAAACGUGAUUGUUAGUAGUUUUAACAGAGAAAAAAGUUGUUAGUGAUUAUUAGUUAGGUUAGCUCAUUGAAGUAGGUUAGCUUAGGAAAGAUGUUUAGUUGUACUGAAUGUUGAAUGGAGGUUAGAGUUUGGGAUUCAGUUUCCUGUUAGUGAUUCUGUUAAUGUUAUAUAUAGUUAUGAUAUGGUUAGAUGUCAAUUAAAUGUUAGACUUCAAUUAGGUUGUGUUGAGUUUUCAAACUGAAUUAGUUUCUGCAGUUUGUGUGUUAUUGAAAUUCUAUUAACUGCUGUAAGAGGGUUAUUGAAUGAACCAGUUAGUGUUCAUUAUUGAAUUUGGUUAGUAUUAGUUAGUUAUGAUGUUGAAAAAAUGAAAUGGUUCAAAAAUCAGUUAUUUGGAGUUGUUUGAAUUGAUAAAGCAAUUAAUUGCUAAUGAGUUGUAUUCUUUAGAAAUGAUUUGGUGGAGAGAAAAUUGUGAUGAAAAUUAAUUGAAACUGAAAAGUUGAUGACAUUUAGGAAAACUUGCUUGCUAAAUUGAAUUUUGAAGUUAGAGCUAGUGAUAUCAUAGUUAUUUUAAGAGGUUCAGUUAGUUAAGCGCAGUUAAGCGCAGUUAUGAAAAGUUUGAAUUAGUUAGAUUAUUGUUGUUAUGUCAAGUCAGUAUGUUAAUUGUUAGGGAUGUGUUAGCUAAUUGGAUUAAGUUAGCCUUGUUAUUUAAAAAUGUGGUAUUAGUGAUUAUGGAAUUGGAGGAAAUUAAUAGGAAUUGUUGUUGUCAUGUUUGUGCUUAAUUGAUGUUGAACUGGUUUUGCAAUGUGUUAUUAUGAAUGACCUGUUAUGGCUUUACGGAUAGGUGACUUGACAUGGGACAAAGUUGGAAAAAUAUGGAGGUCUUUGAAGGCACAAAGAUGGGAAGUGCUAUCUAGGUAGAUUUAGAAGUUUAGGGUGGUUAACUUGACUUUGAUAAAAAUGUGUAAAAAAAAAUAAUUUUUUUCUUAUAAUGUAAUUGGAUAUCCCUGAAAUUAACAUGAUUUUUUGAAUGAGUGUAUCGUAAUGCAACAACUUUU